rnacentral:rRNA from 1 species
GACAGAGGCCUCGAGCGUUAGGCGGAAUCACUGGGCUUAAAGCGUGUGUAGGCGGAUCGUUAAGUACCUUGUGAAAUCCCACGGCUCAACCGUGGAACGGCUGGGUAUACUGGCGGUCUUGGGCCAUUCAGGGGCGACUGGAACAAGCGGUGGAGCGGUGAAAUGCGUAGAUAUCGCUUGGAACGCCGAAGGUGAAAACAGGUCGCUGGGGAUGUGCCGACGCUGAGGCGCGAAAGCUAGGGGAGCAAACGGG